rnacentral:rRNA from 1 species
UACGUAGGGCGCAAGCGUUGUCCGGAAUUAUUGGGCGUAAAGAGCUCGUAGGCGGUCUGUCGCGUCCGUUGUGAAAACUCGAGGCUCAACCUCGGGCUUGCAGUGGAUACGGGCAGACUAGAGUGCGGUAGGGGAGACUGGAAUUCCUGGUGUAGCGGUGAAAUGCGCAGAUAUCAGGAGGAACACCGGUGGCGAAGGCGGGUCUCUGGGCCGAUACUGACGCUGGAGGAGCGAAAGCGUGGGGAGCGAACAGG